CUACCAAAAGCGAAAGCAGUUGGUUAGGCUAUACCCUUUUGUGACGCACGCUCGAUCAUAUACGUAUACACGCACACUUAUAUAUACUCUCUAUGCGUAGAUCAGCGCGCUGAUACACUUUACAAUGAAGAACGAAGGUUGGGGGAUCAAAGAGGAUCAGAUACCCUCGUCGUCCCAUUAGUUACAUCAAACUAUGGGCUCUCAAUUGCUCUGCAGUUUAACUGUUACGAGUAAUUUAUGUGACUCUUUCAUAAACCCUGACCUGCAAACCUGUCAUGGCUUGAGCCUUCCCGCUCGCUAUGUACUAACCUGUAUUAUGGUCUCCGUUUAUAUAGACAUAUAUACCACUCGCCUUAACAAUAAAUAAAGUCGUAUCGUCGCAUAACAACUUUGUUGUAUGCUGAUACAAGAUUUUAUGAACUUUGCGCUCAGUUAUUAUACGGUGAGAUGUAAGCAUUCGUAAGUGUUUGUGCGUCGUACGCUAAUAUUCGGUUCGCCGACUUUGGCACACGCGCUACACUUAAUCUAUGAUGUGAAGCACGUGUUAGGUACGCGCUUACUGCAGAAAU
rnacentral:rRNA from 1 species